GCAGUCGUGGCCACAUGGUUAAGGUGAUGGACUAGAAAUCCAUUGGGGUCUCCCCGCACAGGUUCGAAUUCUGUCGACUACG
rnacentral:tRNA from 2 species